UACGGGGGGAGCAAGCGUUGUUCGGAUUUACUGGGCGUAAAGGGCGCGUAGGCGGCGCAACAAGUCACUUGUGAAAUCUCCGGGCUUAACCCGGAGCGGUCAAGUGAUACUGUCGUGCUAGAGUGCGGAAGGGGCAACUGGAAUUCUUGGUGUAGCGGUGAAAUGCGUAGAUAUCAAGAGGAACACCGGUGGCGAAGGCGGCUCUCUGGACGGUGACUGACGCUGAGACGCGAAAGCGUGGGGAGCAAACAGG
rnacentral:rRNA from 1 species